GACGAACGCUGGCGGCGUGCUUAACACAUGCAAGUCGAGCGAUGAAACUUUAACAUAACCCUUCGGGGCGUAGCUAACGUGGAUUUACGGCGGACGGGUGAUGAACCCGUGAGUAACCUGCCUUAGACAUUGGGAUAGCCUUAGGAAACCGGGAUUUUUUCCAACUAAAAUCAUAAAGGCACAUGUCAUACCGAUCAAGACUCCGGUGGUCUAAGAUGGACGGUCGUCUCGUUAGCUAGUUGGGAGAGUAAAAGCCUACCAAGGCGACGAUGGGUAGCCGGGCAGAGAGGACGAACAGCAACAGUCGAAGUGAGGAACGGUCCACACUCCUACGGGAGGAAGCAGUGGGGAAUAUUGCACAAUGGAGGGAACUAUGAAGCAGCUACGCCGCGUGAACGAAGAAGGUUUGCGAGUAGUAUAGUUCUAUUUUAUGGGAAAAAAAUGACGGUACCAUAAGAAGAAGCCACGGCUAACUACGUG
rnacentral:rRNA from 1 species